rnacentral:rRNA from 1 species
CCUACGGGAGGCAGCAGUGGGGAAUAUUGCACAAUGUGGGAAACCCUGAUGCAGCGACGCCGCGUGAGUGAUGAAGUAUUUCGGUAUGUAAAGCUCUAUCAGCAGGGAAGAAAAUGACGGUACCUGACUAAGAAGCCCCAGCUAACUACGUGCCAGCAGCCGCGGUAAUACGUAGGGGGCAAGCGUUAUCCGGAUUUACUGGGUGUAAAGGGAGCGUAGACGGCAGUGCAAGUCUGGAGUGAAAGGCCGGGGCUCAACCCCCGGACUGCCUUGGAAACUGUGCGGCUAGAGUGCAGGAGAGGUAAGCGGAAUUCCUAGUGUAGCGGUGAAAUGCGUAGAUAUUAGGAGGAACACCAGUGGCGAAGGCGGCUUACUGGACGGUAACUGACGUUGAGGCUCGAAAGCGUGGGGAGCAAACAGGAUUAGAUACCCUAGUAGUC